rnacentral:rRNA from 1 species
UACAGAGGGUGCAAGCGUUAAUCGGAUUUACUGGGCGUAAAGCGCGCGUAGGCGGCUAAUUAAGUCAAAUGUGAAAUCCCCGAGCUUAACUUGGGAAUUGCAUUCGAUACUGGUUAGCUAGAGUGUGGGAGAGGAUGGUAGAAUUCCAGGUGUAGCGGUGAAAUGCGUAGAGAUCUGGAGGAACACCCGUGGCGAAGGCGGCCCCCUGGGUCGGCCCUGACGCUGAGGCGCGAAAGCGUGGGGAGCGAACGGG